rnacentral:tRNA from 1 species
UCGAACGUAGUUCAGUGGUAGAACAUCACCUUGCCAAGGUGGGGGUCGCGGGUUCGAACCCCGUCGUUCGCU